rnacentral:misc_RNA from 1 species
UGGGUUUGACAUACGCCGGAAAGCUCCAGAGAUGGGGGCCCUUUUGCUGGUGUACAGGUGGUGCAUGGCUGUCGUCAGCUCGUGUCGUGAGAUGUUGGGUUAAGUCCCGCAACGAGCGCAACCCUCGUUCUAUGUUGCCAGCAGGCCCUUCGGGGUGCUGGGGACUCAUAGGAGACUGCCGGGGUCAACUCGGAGGAAGGUGGGGAUGACGUUUCCAGGUUAGG